UAUUUGCCAAUAAUUUUAUAAGUACGAUUUGUCAUACAAUCGAAUUAAUUUUUUUAUAACAUUUCAAAUACGAAAAACUAGUGCUGUUUUUCCACAAAACUAGACUAGAAUCUCUCUCUAGGCUAGAAUAAUGAAUAAUAGGUGUCUUGCAAUGUUGAUUUCAGAUUUUGUUUUAAGUUAAGCAAAGAUACUGUAAGAUAUACCAAGGAGAGAUCCUGUAGGAUAUGGAGAUCUGUGAAGAAACUACAAAAUAU